UACGUAGGUGGCGAGCGUUACUCGGAGUUACUGGGCGUAAAGGGUCCGUAGGUGGCCAGUUAAGUCUGAGGUGAAAGCCUGCAGCUCAACUGCAGAACUGCCUUGGAAACUGGAUGGCUAGAGUGCAGGAGAGGUAAGUGGAAUUUGUGGUGUAGCGGUGGAAUGCGUGGAUAUCACAAGGAACACCAGAGGCGAAAGCGGCUUACUGGACUGCAACUGACACUGAGGGACGAAAGCCAGGGGAGCAAAAAGG
rnacentral:rRNA from 1 species